rnacentral:misc_RNA from 1 species
UGGGUCAGGUGGCCAUUCUUC